UACGUAGGGGGCGAGCGUUGUCCGGAUUUAUUGGGCGUAAAGAGCGUGUAGGCGGUUCGGUAAGUCUGUCGUGAAAUCCUGAGGCUCAACCUCGGGCGUGCGAUGGAUACUGCCGGGCUAGAGGGUGGUAGAGGCGAGUGGAAUUCCCGGUGUAGCGGUGAAAUGCGCAGAUAUCGGGAGGAACACCAGUAGCGAAGGCGGCUCGCUGGCCACACCUGACGCUGAGACGCGAAAGCUAGGGGAGCGAACAGG
rnacentral:rRNA from 1 species